AGAAGGGGAAGUUCGACUAAAACCGUCACGUCCUGUGACAAUGUCGAACGACCCCACAUCGUGUGGG
rfam:Pontibacillus chungwhensis BH030062 contig7, whole genome shotgun sequence.